GUCUUGGUAGCUCAGAUGGCAGAGCACUGUAUUACAGUGAUCCAGUGGUCGUGGGUUCAAGUCCCACCCAAGACA